rnacentral:rRNA from 1 species
AUACGAAGGGGGCUAGCGUUGUUCGGAAUUACUGGGCGUAAAGCGCGCGUAGGCGGAUACUUAAGUCAGGGGUGAAAUCCCGAGGCUCAACCUCGGAACUGCCCUUGAUACUGGGUAUCUUGAGAUCGAGAGAGGUAAGUGGAAUUCCGAGUGUAGAGGUGAAAUUCGUAGAUAUUCGGAGGAACACCAGAGGCGAAGGCGGCUUACUGGCUCGAUUCUGACGCUGAGGCGCGAAAGCGUGGGGAGCAAACAGGAUUAGAAACCCUGGUAGUCC